GCCAGGCGUGGUGGCGGGCGCCUGUAGUCCCAGCUACUUGGGAGGCUGAGGCAGAAGAAUCGCUUGAACCCGGGAGGCGGAGGUUGCAGUGAGCCAAGAUUGUGCCACUGCACUCCAGCCUGGGUGACCAAGCGAGAUUCCGUCUCAA
rnacentral:SRP_RNA from 1 species